AUUGAACGCUGGCGGCAUGCCUUACACAUGCAAGUCGAACGGUAACGGGCCUUCGGGUGCCGACGAGUGGCGAACGGGUGCGUAAUACAUCGGAACGUGCCCGAUCGUGGGGGAUAACGAGGCGAAAGCUUUGCUAAUACCGCAUACGAUCUACGGAUGAAAGCCGGGGACCGCAAGGCCUUGCGCGGACGGAGCGGCCGAUGGCAGAUUAGGUAGUUGGUGGGGUAAAAGCUUACCAAGCCGACGAUCUGUAGCUGUUCUGAGAGGAUGAUCAGCCACACUGGGACUGAGACACGGCCCAGACUCCUACGGGAGGCAGCAGUGGGGAAUUUUGGACAAAGGGCGCAAGCCUGAUCCAGCCAUGCCGCGUGCAGGAUGAAGGCCUUCGGGUUGUAAACUGCUUUUGUACGGAACGAAAAGCCUUCUUUUAAUACAGGAGGGUCAUGACGGUACCGGAAGAAUAAGCACCGGCUAACUACGUG
rnacentral:rRNA from 1 species